rnacentral:rRNA from 1 species
GACGUAGGGCGCGAGCGUUGUCCGGAUUUAUUGGGCGUAAAGAGCUCGUAGGCGGCUUGUCGCGUCGGACUGUGAAAUCCCGCGGCUCAACUGCGGGUCUGCAGUCGAUACGGGCAGGCUAGAGUUCGGUAGGGGGAGACUGGAAUUCCUGGUGUAGCGGUGAAAUGCGCAGAUAUCAGGAGGAACACCGGUGGCGAAAAGCGGGCUUCCCUGGUC